CAGUCGCCACGGGAAUACGUAAGGGGCAAGCGUUAUCCGGAAUUACUGGGUGUAAAGGGAGCGUAGACGGUUAAACAAGUCUGAAGUGAAAUGCCGGGGCUCAACCCCGGAGCUGCUUUGGGAACUGUAGAACUGGAGUGCCGGAGGGGUAAGCGGAAUUCCCAGUGUAGCGGUGAAAUGCGUAGAUAUUGGGAGGAACACCGGCGGCGAAGGCGGCUUACUGGACGACAACUGACGUUGAGGCUCGAAGGCGUGGGUAGCAAACAGGAUUAGAUACCCCGGUAGUCCCUGUCUCUUAUAA
rnacentral:rRNA from 1 species